rnacentral:rRNA from 1 species
GAUCGGAGUAGUGAUUAACAGUUACAAUCGGAGACAAUCGUAUUUCAUAGUCAGAGAUGAAAUUCUUGGAUUUAUGAAAGAUGAACAACUACGAAAGCAUUUGCCAAGGAUGUUUUCAUUAAUCAAGAAUGAAAGUUGGGGGCUCGAAGACGAUCAAAUAUCAUCCUAGUCUCAACCAUAAACGAUGUCGACUAGGGAUCGACGGGUGUUGCUUAUAGGACUCCGCUGGUACCUUAUGAGAAAUCAAAGUUUUU